rnacentral:pre_miRNA from 1 species
GAUUUUAACUGAAAAAGUCAUCAAUAACAAACUUGUAUAAAUCAUCAAGAUCUAUAAUUUUUAUUUUGGUCAUUUCUUCAUCCGAUAAAGUGAUUUGUAUGAUUGUUCAUAAAAUGUAUUUAUCUCUUAUAUAGUUUAGAAAACUAUAAGAGAGAGAUGUAUAUUUUGUGAACAAUCUUAUAAAUAACUUUAUCGGAUGAACAAAUGACUAAAAUAUAAGUUAUAUAUCUUGAUGAGCUAUACAACUUUAUUAUUGAUGACUUUUUCAGCUGAAAUC